rnacentral:rRNA from 1 species
AUUGAACGCUGGCGGAAUGCUUUACACAUGCAAGUCGAACGGCAGCACGGACUUCGGUCUGGUGGCGAGUGGCGAACGGGUGAGUAAUACAUCGGAACGUGCCCAGUCGUGGGGGAUAACGUAGCGAAAGCUACGCUAAUACCGCAUACGAGCUAAGGAUGAAAGCGGGGGAUCGCAAGACCUUGCGCGACUGGAGCGGCCGAUGGCAGAUUAGGUAGUUGGUAGGGUAAAGGCCUACCAAGCCGACGAUCUGUAGCUGGUCUGAGAGGAUGAUCAGCCACACUGGGACUGAGACACGGCCCAGACUCCUACGGGAGGCAGCAGUGGGGAAUUUUGGACAAUGGGCGCAAGCCUGAUCCAGCCAUUCCGCGUGCAGGAUGAAGGCCUUCGGGUUGUAAACUGCUUUUGUACAGAACGAAAAGGCUCUGGUUAAUACCCGGGGCUCAUGACGGUACUGUAGGAAUAAGCACCGACUAACUACGUGCCAGCCGCCGCUGUAA